rnacentral:rRNA from 1 species
CAGUAGCCGCGGGAAAACGAAGGGUGCAAGCGUUACUCGGAAUUACUGGGCGUAAAGCGUGCGUAGGUGGUGGUUUAAGUCCGUUGUGAAAGCCCUGGGCUCAACCUGGGAAUUGCAGUGGAUACUGGGUCACUAGAGUGUGGUAGAGGAUAGUGGAAUUUCCGGUGUAGCAGUGAAAUGCGUAGAGAUCGGAAGGAACAUCUGUGGCGAAGGCGACUAUCUGGGCCAACACUGACACUGAGGCACGAAAGCGUGGGGAGCAAACAGGAUUAGAUACCCACGUAGUCCCUGUCUCUUAUAC